UUUCAACGUGGCUGUUCUUGGUUUUUGUGCUUAUCUGGGGUGCUGAAACUUCUUAUUUGGAAUCUGGAAUUCUCAUAAAGGAUUGAAGUUCUGAGCCCCACAUCAGGCUCCCCAACUUGGGGGUUUGGCAGUGGGAGGAGGAGCCCCCAGAGCAUCUGGAUUUGAAGUAUUUACCCUUUGGGAUUCCUCAUCUGGCACUGAACGACUCUAGAAGCUUUCUGUAUCCUGUCUGUAUGCAGGUUCUCUCUGCCAUGGUUUCAAGCUGCUGCAAUUCCUCGGACAAAAUUAAAGUGGUGAAUGCAUAA